rnacentral:misc_RNA from 1 species
CUAGUGGGGGAAUUUCUCUAGAUUGUCCCCAUUCCCCCUAUGGUUCACAAGCCUUCACCAAACUCUAGUAGGCUACUAGUGUAGUAAUAAGACCAUAGUAUAUUGUUCUCAACCUCUUACCAAGACCAUGUAUGAGAUGAAUACGGCAAGCACUAGGCUCAAUUUUUCCUUUGAGAGGGAGCCUGCAGCACUAGUAUCAGUUAUGCCAUUUCCCGAGGGGCCUAGUCCAAACCCUCCUCCGGUGCCAGUUGUUGGUGUGAAGGUGUUGGGUGUCGUACUGCCAGGGAAGGUGGAGGGUGUCGUGGUACCCGGGUUGGUGGUGGGUGUUGUAGUGCUUCCCGGAGAUGUGGGUGUCGCAGUGCUUCCUGGAGAGGUGGGUGUUGCAGUGCUUCCCGG